GGGUGAGUAAUGCGUCGGAACGUACCGAGUAAUGGGGGAUAACGCACCGAAAGGUGUGCUAAUACCGCAUACGCCCUCCGGGGGAAAGCAGGGGAUCGUAAGACCUUGCGUUAUUCGAGCGGCCGACGUCUGAUUAGCUAGUUGGUGGGGUAAAGGCCUACCAAGGCGACGAUCAGUAGCGGGUCUGAGAGGAUGAUCCGCCACACUGGAACUGAGACACGGUCCAGACUCCUACGGGAGGCAGCAGUGGGGAAUUUUGGACAAUGGGGGCAACCCUGAUCCAGCCAUUCCGCGUGAGUGAAGAAGGCCUUCGGGUUGUAAAGCUCUUUCAGCUGGAACGAAACGGUACGCUCUAACAUAGCGUGCUAAUGACGGUACCAGCAGAAGAAGCACCGGCUAACUACGUGCCAGCAGCCGCGGUAAUACGUAGGGUGCGAGCGUUAAUCGGAAUUACUGGGCGUAAAGCGUGCGCAGGCGGAUUGUUAAGCAAGACGUGAAAUCCCCGGGCUUAACCUGGGAAUGGCGUUUUGAACUGGCAGUCUAGAGUGUGUCAGAGGGGGGUAGAAUUCCACGUGUAGCAGUGAAAUGCGUAGAGAUGUGGAGGAAUACCAAUGGCGAAGGCAGCCCCCUGGGAUAACACUGACGCUCAUGUACGAAAGCGUGGGUAGCAAACAGGAUUAGAUACCCUGGUAGUCCACGCCCUAAACGAUGUCAACUGGUUGUUGGGGGAGUGAAAUCCCUUAGUAACGAAGCUAACGCGUGAAGUUGACCGCCUGGGGAGUACGGUCGCAAGAUUAAAACUCAAAGGAAUUGACGGGGACCCGCACAAGCGGUGGAUGAUGUGGAUUAAUUCGAUGCAACGUGAAAAACCUUACCUACCCUUGACAUGUCCAGAAUCCUGCAGAGACGCGGGAGUGCCCGAAAGGGAAUUGGAACACAGGUGCUGCAUGGCUGUCGUCAGCUCGUGUCGUGAGAUGUUGGGUUAAGUCCCGCAACGAGCGCAACCCUUAUCAUUAGUUGCUACGCAAGGGCACUCUAAUGAGACUGCCGGUGACAAACCGGAGGAAGGUGGGGAUGACGUCAAGUCCUCAUGGCCCUUAUGGGUAGGGCUUCACACGUCAUACAAUGGUCGGUACAGAGGGUUGUCAAGCCGCGAGGUGGAGCCAAUCCCAGAAAGCCGAUCGUAGUCCGGAUUGUUCUCUGCAACUCGAGAGCAUGAAGUCGGAAUCGCUAGUAAUCGCGGAUCAGCAUGUCGC
rnacentral:rRNA from 1 species